UGACUGCGUACCUUUUGUAUAAUGGGUCAGCGACUUAUAUUCUGUAGCAAGGUUAACCGUAUAGGGGAGCCGAAGGGAAACCGAGUCUUAACCGGGCGUUAAGUUGCAGGGUAUAGACCCGAAACCCGGUGAUCUAGCCAUGGGCAGGUUGAAGGUUGGGUAACACUAACUGGAGGACCGAACCGACUAAUGUUGAAAAAUUAGCGGAUGACCUGUGGCUGGGGGUGAAAGGCCAAUCAAACCGGGAGAUAGCUGGUUCUCCCCGAAAGCUAUUUAGGUAGCGCCUCGUGAAUUCAUCUCCGGGGGUAGAGCACUGUUUCGGCUAGGGGGCCAUCCCGGCUUACCAACCCGAUGCAAACUGCGAAUACCGGAGAAUGUUAUCACGGGAGACACACGGCGGGUGCUAACGUCCGUCGUGAAGAGGGAAACAACCCAGACCGCCAGCUAAGGUCCCAAAGUCAUGGUUAAGUGGGAAACGAUGUGGGAAGGCCCAGACAGCCAGGAUGUUGGCUUAGAAGCAGCCAUCAUUUAAAGAAAGCGUAAUAGCUCACUGGUCGAGUCGGCCUGCGCGGAAGAUGUAACGGGGCUAAACCAU
rnacentral:rRNA from 1 species